UACGGGGGGGCGAGCGUUGUUCGGAAUUACUGGGCGUAAAGGGCGCGUAGGCGGUCUGCUAAGUUGGAUGUGAAACUCUGGGCUUAACCCAGAGCCUGCAUUCAAUACUGACAGGCUAGAGUUCUGGAGGGGAGUAGCGGAAUUCCUGGUGUAGCGGUGAAAUGCGUAGAUAUCAGGAGGAACACCGGUGGCGAAGGCGGCUAUCUGGACAGAAACUGACGCUGGAGGCGACGAAAGCUAGGGGAGCAAACAGG
rnacentral:rRNA from 1 species